rnacentral:pre_miRNA from 1 species
AGGUAGCUAAAUGUAGCCUAGGACAACUUGCCGGCUCAACUGGCUGAGCUAGCAGCAUUGCAUUUGAAUAUUUAACAAUGCAGGCCGGCAAGUCAUCCUUGGCUGCAAUCCGCUGCCUCC